GUUACUAUUAACUCACACACGCGCCACCAUCACCCAACAGCCAUCGCAAUGGCAAACGCCGCUUGCAUAUCCGUCAGAUACUUUCCCAUCGCGCUGCAUCUUCUAAUUGCCGCGCAGCUGCAGAUGGAACUGGAACUGGAGAUACUCGCAUAGCCGCCAUGCCAUGCCAUGCGAUUUUGUCAACGCCAAAAGAUGUUUAACACAUUGCCAGAGGCUCUUCCUACUCCGACUCCCCGACUGCCGACUCACCCUCGCCCUCGCCCUCGCAGUACGCACUUGGAGUUACAUUUUGAAUGCAGUUGAAAGUGCACGAGUGCUGGCGCUAUUUUUAGUGUGCGAUUGUUUAGACAAGCGCAAAGCCGUGACUGUUUAUACUUGGAAUAGCCCCGUGGCGUUGUGUGUGUGUGGGGGCCGGGGCAGGGGCAGGGGCAGGAGCAGGGCCAAGGCCGCCUGCCGAACUUAUCGUGUGUCGAGUGUCGAAUGAAUCACUUGCCACCUUUCGGAGUUUUCUACGCAAAAUGUAAUAUUUAUAAAUGUUUCCCUUUGC
rnacentral:lncRNA from 1 species